CAGCAGCCACGGUAAUACGGAGGGAGCUAGCGUUGUUCGGAAUUACUGGGCGUAAAGCGCACGUAGGCGGCUUUGUAAGUCAGAGGUGAAAGCCUGGAGCUCAACUCCAGAACUGCCUUUGAGACUGCAUCGCUUGAAUCCAAGAGAGGUGAGUGGAAUUCCGAGUGUAGAGGUGAAAUUCGUAGAUAUUCGGAAGAACACCAGUGGCGAAGGCGGCUCACUGGACUGGUAUUGACGCUGAGGUGCGAAAGCGUGGGGAGCAAACAGGAUUAGAUACCCCGGUAGUCCCUGUCUCUUAUAC
rnacentral:rRNA from 1 species